UUUUUUCCCCUGGCUCUAAACUGGAAGUUUUGAAGAGUCUGAUCUUACCUUUCAGCCAGAAAGAGGAAGAAAGAUCAAAGAACUCAGUCCAUCCCCUUCAGUGGCCUUUUUUGAUCCAUGAAGUAGGAAGAACUUGGAUGGCGUGUGGUGAAGCAGCAUGGUAAAGCAUGAGUAUUUCCUGGUCUCUGGACCGCUGGAUGAUUUCAAUACUGUACUGAAUUGUCUCCAGCACACCUGCAUAAUCCUUGCGGUCAUGUAUGUCCUCUCUGCAAUGCAAUUACUGCUGCUGUUGCUGCUGCAGAGGCCAGGUUGGUACAUUGAGGUGAAUUUGUUUCCAUGAGAACAGAUUGCUGAGGAAAUCAUUCAGCUUAUGUCUUACCAGCCUGAUCAAUGAACUCUGGAUUUUGUUGCAGGAGGUGCAGGCACAAAGAGGAAGAGGCAGCAGCCCUAGCCCUUUGCUCUGUGAUGCACCUCAACCACUGUGGAUAUGUUGGGGCAGUCAGGGUCUGAUUAAAGAAGGGCACUCUUUGGCCAGCCUCUGGCAACUCUCUGUGGGCAUGCUGC